GCUCCGUUGGUGAACCAGCGGAGGGAUCAUUACCGAGUUUACAACUCCCAAACCCCUAUGUGAACGUUACCAAACUGUUGCCUCGGCGGGAAAUUCAUGCCCCGGGCGCGUCGCAGCCCCGGACCAAGGCGCCCGCCGGAGGACCAACCAAAACUCUUUUGUAUGUCCCUCGCGGACUUUUAUAAUUCUGAACCAUCUCGGCGCCCCUAGCGGGCGUUUCGAAAAUGAAUCAAAACUUUCAACAACGGAUCUCUUGGUUCUG
rnacentral:misc_RNA from 1 species